CCAGGCUCCGAUGAGGUUCCUGACACUAUGACGUCAGGACAUCCUCAGCUGACACCUCGAUGGGUGCAAUAAGUCUGAUGGAAACUGCCUGCUAACAAUGGACUAAACUCUUCUAUGGAGCAUGCUCUGGUGAGCCCCAGCUCACCCGUGGGCUCUCGGAGCAAACUGUAGGAAGAUGCAAGAGGACUCUGAGAAGCCUGAUGUAGAUGAUGUACAGCCACAUUAAUUAUUGAUCGUCUGGAGACGAAAAGGAGUAUGUCCGUCCUCUGUUGCAACACCAUGGGAAUUUCCAGCAGCCCCAGCGGGGACCAGAGCCAAGGUGCAGAUCCUUAGCUGUUUUCAGCAGGCAGAAGCCAGCUGAUCUCCUUGAAACACAAAGGUUGUUGUUAGACGAGGACCUGGGCUGUAAUAUGAAGGUACACAGAAGCAGGAGAAAUGAUCCACCUGAGCCCUGCCUCACGUGGAUGCUGAUUGCACAUGCACCGGAGCGUGUGGAUUCCAGUCUCCACCCUCCAUCAUAUUUGAAGGAGGAUAUUCCUGAAGUAUGCCAGGACUUCCUUGUCCCAAGGACUAAAUACAUUUGGCUGUCUCCAUUCCAGCUAGCUUGAGCUGAAGAAAGAGAAACAAAAGCUAAAUACGGGUACUAGAUGGUUUCUUCCUGGAAAAACAAAUGGAACGUAAGUUGAUGGAGUGUGAUAUCACUGUAAGGAAGUGGCCAGGAGAGAGUUGGGAAGAAGACAGGCAGUUCUGCAUACUGGAACUCAUCUGUGUGAAUUUGUUUCAGCUGCCACCCAAUCUUCAGAAGAUAUAUGAAAGUGACAAUUUACCCAAAGAAAGGAGAUCAAUGAGUUUUUAUCCGCACUGACUAUAUACUUUACUGAAACUGUAUAAUUUACUGAAAUCCCCAAAGAGACAAUGUUCUAUUUCCCUAUCAGAGCAAGAUGGCCUCUGCUGAACAAUCCAGGUAUUAAACUCUUGGUGACCAAUAACUGGUGCCACAAACUAAAAGCUGCGUGGCUCAGUCAAGUGCAAGCCUUUGAAAACGAGUGUCUUUUUUAACAUGAGGGUCAGCUCACAGAACUGCUGAAUUUUUUCCUUGGCAUUUUAGUAACUUAACCGUUUCAAUUUAUCCUUUAAAGUAAACGGAGAUAUUCGGGAAGACACAAACUCUGCAAUUUAUAAGAAAAAUACUUUUCCUGAAAUGUUUUAAAAUGGCAACUAAUUAUAGCUAUAGGAUAAUGUUUCUAUUUCUUUUACAACAUAACACAACUAAGCGAUAUUAUAUCGAGCUGUCACAUUUUGAGUUGCAUCUUCUUCAUAUGGCUGAACGACCAGCAAUGUAUGUACCAUAUGCACUGUACAUGGUUAACUCUUGAUUUUCUAUUGUUCAGUGGGGUAGGAAACCUAUGUAGAAUAAUGAUGUGACCAGUCCCCCCAAAAAAACACCAAAACGCAACAAAACAUUGUAAAUCACGCUGCUUAAUGUAGAUAGACUAAGGAACAACCAAAAAGGAAAUGCAGAAUGAAUGGCAGAUCCUGAUAUAUGUGUAUAUUUAAAAAUGUAUUGAUCUACUGCUGAAGUCAGAAAACAGGAAAGACAAUGAAUGUGAAGGCUGCAAAAACAUUUGAUAUUGUAUAUUGUACUUCACUGAACAUUUGCAUGAAAAAUAGUUUUUUUUCCAGUGAUUAAAAAUUGUGUCC